UUUAAACACAAUGUAUGUAAUUUUCUUUUGUUCGACAAGAUUGGUUUCAGAAAUUUCCUCAAAAUGACAUCAAUUAAUUCUUUGUUACUUUCACCAGGGCGAGCAAUUUCACAAACGAAUGUGAUGCAUUUCUCCAAAUGGGGUAGCAGGUAAUCUACAAGGCCCUGUAACAUGGAAUUCGAGCUGGAAAUCCACGGAAGGGUUUCCUUCACAAAUAGAUAAACCGUCCACAGCCUUGACACAAAUUCGACUGUGGGAUACAUAAGGGCACCCCGGUUUCAACCUAGUCGAUAGAUGAGCUGCAUCAGUGGGUCUGUGGUUCUUAUCCCCUGAAGUCGGGCUACACAAUCCACACAAAACUCUUGCUCCAAUAGGACACGUACGAGGUAUCUAGAAAGUAGUGCUACAGUGCAAGCUUGUGAUGUUGGCCUCGGCUGCACUAACAAUUCCAGAAAGAAUUAAAACUGGUUUGCGAGACAAGGUGGUAUUGCCGUAGAUUGAAUUGUGGGCGAUGCCCGUCCGCAGUAUCUUUUCAAAAGCCUGUGAAACAGCUGUAGCGUCGCCCUUGAAGUUGCCGCCGAUCAACUGACGAAUAGCCCCAAACAACUGUUCAAUGGGGUCACUCGAGGAACGUCU